GAUGAACGCUGACAGAAUGCUUAACACAUGCAAGUCCACUUGAAUUUGGGUUUUUAACUUAGGUUUGGGUGGCGGACGGGUGAGUAACGCGUAAAGAACUUGCCUCACAGCUAGGGACAACAUUUGGAAACGAAUGCUAAUACCUAAUAUUAUGAUAAUAGGGCAUCCUAUAAUUAUGAAAGCUAUAAGCGCUGUGAGAGAGCUUUGCGUCCCAUUAGCUAGUUGGAGAGGUAACGGCUCACCAAGGCGAUGAUGGGUAGCCGGCCUGAGAGGGUGAUCGGCCACAAGGGGACUGAGACACGGCCCUUACGCAUACGGGAGGCAGCAGUGGGGAAUAUUGGACAAUGGACCAAGAGUCUGAUCCAGCAAUUCUGUGUGCACGAUGAAGUUUUUCGGAAUGUAAAGUGCUUUCAGUUGGGAAGAAAGAAAUGACGGUACCAACAGAGGAAGUGACGGCUAAAUACGUG
rnacentral:rRNA from 1 species